rnacentral:lncRNA from 1 species
UUCCUUUUUAUCGGUACCAGGAAUCGAACUCACGACUGCCUGCUUGCAAGUCAGGCGCUUAUGCCGCUGAGCUAAAUCCCCAGCCCCAGGUUUUCAAAACAAGAAGACAGCCACACUGUGGCCCACUGCAAGAGAGAGGGCAGCAAGCUUAUCAAGAUGAACAGGCCUCACCUGGAGGUGAAGGCAAUGCACGGCAUAAUACAAGUUACUGGAUCUUGUUCUGCGUCUGAGCAAGUAGUGGCUUGCAGGGGUGGCUGCCGUGAGCCUACCACCUGUGGCAGGCUGAUUUGAAUGCAAGUCAAGAGAGACCAGGCCACCUACGUGUUGCAAC